rnacentral:rRNA from 1 species
GACGAACGCUGGCGGCGUGCUUAACACAUGCAAGUCGAACGGAAAGGCCCUGCUUUUGUGGGGUGCUCGAGUGGCGAACGGGUGAGUAACACGUGAGUAACCUGCCCUUGACUUUGGGAUAACUUCAGGAAACUGGGGCUAAUACCGGAUAGGAGCUCCUGCUGCAUGGUGGGGGUUGGAAAGUUUCGGCGGUCGGGGAUGGACUCGCGGCUUAUCAGCUUGUUGGUGGGGUAGUGGCUUACCAAGGCUUUGACGGGUAGCCGGCCUGAGAGGGUGACCGGCCACAUUGGGACUGAGAUACGGCCCAGACUCCUACGGGAGGCAGCAGUGGGGAAUAUUGCACAAUGGGCGGAAGCCUGAUGCAGCAACGCCGCGUGCGGGAUGACGGCCUUCGGGUUGUAAACCGCUUUCGCCUAUGACGAAGCGUGAGUGACGGUAAUGGGUAAAGAAGCACCGGCUAACUACGUG